rnacentral:SRP_RNA from 1 species
GCUGGGUUUGGUGGUGCAUACCUGUAGUAAUCCCUACAACUGAGGAGGUUGUGGCUGGUGGAUCAUUUAAGCUCAGGAGUUCUGAGCUGCAGCAAGGCUAAGCUGAUCAGAUGUCUGCACUAAGCCUGACACCCAUAAGAUGAGCCCCAGCGGCGAGGCUCACUAGCCUGCUUAAGGGAGGGCGAACCAGACCAGGUCAGAAAUCGAGCAGGUCAAAGCUUCCAUGCCCAAUCAGCAGGGGGAUUGGGCCAUCGAGUGACCACUGCACUGACAACCUGGACAUGAUAGAAAAACCCAUUCUCC